rnacentral:rRNA from 1 species
AUUGAACGCUGGCGGCAGGCCUAACACAUGCAAGUCGAACGAGUGGCGGACGGGUGAGUAAUGUCUGGGAAACUGCCUGAUGGAGGGGGAUAACUACUGGAAACGGUAGCUAAUACCGCAUACUGUGACAUGGACCUGGGUUGUAUUAGCUAGUUGGUGAGGUAAAGGCUCACCAAGGCGACGAUCCCUAGCUGGUCUGAGAGGAGGACCAGCCACACGGGAACUGAGACACGGUCCAGACUCCUACGGGAGGCAGCAGUGGGGAAUAUUGCACAAUGGGCGCAAGCCUGAUGCAGCCAUGCCGCGUGUAUGAAGAGGGCCUUCGGGUUGUAAAGUACUUUCAGCGGGGAGGCGUUACCCGCAGAAGAAGCACCGGCUAACUCCGUGCCAGCAGCCGCGGUAAUUC